rnacentral:rRNA from 1 species
UAUCCGGAAUUAUUGGGCGUAAAGGGCUCGUAGGCGGUUCGUCGCGUCCGGUGUGAAAGUCCAUCGCUUAACGGUGGAUCCGCGCCGGGUACGGGCGGGCUUGAGUGCGGUAGGGGAGACUGGAAUUCCCGGUGUAACGGUGGAAUGUGUAGAUAUCGGGAAGAACACCAAUGGCGAAGGCAGGUCUCUGGGCCGUUACUGACGCUGAGGAGCGAAAGCGUGGGGAGCGAACAGGAUUAGAUACCCUGGUAAUCCACGCCGUAAACGGUGGAUGCUGGAUGUGGGGCCCGUUCCACGGGUUCCAUGUCCGACCUAACGCGUUAAGCAUCCCGCUUGGGGAAUACGGC